AGAAUCAGGUCUGGUGAUUGGUUGGAACUCAACUCUGCAGCUCUCCAGAACCAGGGUUUAACGUACCGCAUGGUCUCUACAAUCAUCUUUGAUUCCGUUGAUUUCAGUUCAGCUAGUAGUUCUCUUUAUCCACAGUUACCAGUCAGCUAGUAGUUCUCUUUAUCCACAGUUACCAGUCAGCUAGUAGUUUUCUUUAUCCACAGUUACCAGUCAGCUAGUAGUUUUCUUUAUCCACAGUUACCAGUCAGCUAGUAGUUUUCUUUAUCCACAGUUACCAGUCAGCUAGUCUCUUUAUCCACAGAUACCAGUCAGCUAGUCUCUUUAUCCCCAGUUACCAGUCAGCUAGUAGUUCUCUUUAGCCCCAGUUACCAGUCAGCUAGUCCCUUUAUCCCCAGUUACCAGUCAGCUAGUCUCUUUAGCCCCAGUUACCAGUCAGCUAGUCUCUUUAUCCCCAGUUACCAGUCAGCUAGUAGUUCUCUUUAUCCACAGUUACCGGUCAGCUAGUCUCUUUAGCCCCAGUUACCAGUCAGCUAGUCUCUUUAUCCACAGUUACCAGUCAGCUAGUCUCUUUAGCCCCAGUUACCAGUCAGCUAUUCUCUUUAGCCCCAGUUACCAGUCAGCUAGUCUCUUUAGCCCCAGUUACCAGUCAGCUAGUAGUUAUCUUUAUCCACA